GAUUGCAGAUGGCGGAAGUGUCGGAGGAUGAUGCGUUGGAUCCGGAUAAAAUUCAGCGGUUCUGAGCAGAAGGCUACGUCUGACGUGUGAAAUGCUGAGGGUGACAAGUGAAGCUGUGCAUAAGAAAGCUGAACCCAGAGCGAAAUACAGGAGGGUGCAAUUGUCCAGCAGAUUGUCAGUUUGCCAGUGAGAGAGAUGAGCGAGCAGUACCUUGGCUCGGUGACGUGAUGGGAAACAGCAAGGCUGCCAGACAAUUGCCCACUUGACAAAGGUGACAAACUUUCUAGAGCAAUGCCUUGCACUCUGGGAAUGGCUCUGAUAGCCAUAGUGUAAUGGUGAGUGUGCCGGUUACCGAACCCUGUGAUACGAGUUUAAAUCUAGGUGUAGCCUGCUACCUGGUGAAGGGAGUGACGAGUCUUGGCAAGUCUAGUAUUGGUCAUUACAAAACCGAGACUUGAAGUGGGCUUAUUUUUACAUCGCACGCUGUCUGCUUUUGCUCUCCCCUCAUGCUAGGGACGUGUUUCCUUCGAAGGGCACUGCAGCCAGACUGCAGCUUUCGUCUACCGGAGCGUAGAAAGUGAACUGCAUGUUUGAAUGCAGGACAUACCAUUGUGUCCUCUGAGCGAAAGCAGUGCAGUCGGUUCCAUGGUGUAAUGGUUAGCACUCUGGGCUUUGAAUCCAGGGAUCUGAGUCCGAAUCUCAGUGGGAUCUCUAAUUGGUGCGUCCCUACGAAUUGUUUAAUUUGGGACACGACAGUGAAAUCUGCUUACGGGCCAAGUCUAAGGCUGGACCUUUUAGCACCGCCACAUCAGAUCUCAUCACAUUUCUGUCAGAGCAGUAAGCACAGCACGAUCCAAACCCUGGCGUGGAGAAUUUAGGUCGGUGCCUGAGAGUGGAAGUCACUGUGGUUUUUAUUUGAGCUGCCCUCAGUUCUCGACACAGCAGGAAACAAAGAGACACGCUUGGGAACGAGUGCUGCAAAGGUGCUGUUAAAGACAAUCUGAAACCAGAGCCCGAAAUACCGGAGGGUGCAAUUGUCCAGCAGAUUGUCAGUUUGCAGAUCAGAGAGAUGAGCGAGCAGUACCCCGGCUUGGUAACGUGAUGGGAAACAGCAAGGCUGCUAGACAACUGCACAUUUGACAAAGGACUACACAGUUCCACAGGAUGCACACUGAGACAAACAUCAACUGUGGCUGGAAGACCAUCAACUCAGUGGAAGAUGCUCUUUGGUCUGCCCGAACCUUGGUCUUCCAGAAUAAGGAGUUGGCCCUGAUUGAAUGUUGCAGACUGGCACAUUCCAUGGUACAAGGUUCUGAGGGACGCAGCACAGCUUGGGGCAGCCACCACCAAGGAGCAGUGGGGAAAGACCACUGACUGAGAUCUUCCUGCUGAAGAUGACAUGAAAAUUUGGA